CUUUGCAUUCGGUCAAAAUUGUUACAAAGUUCAGCUGGAAGUUUCCUUCCCUGUGUGGUUUCUUCCUGGUUCCUCUGGCAGCCCUCCCCAAGGACUUCUGUAAGACAAAGUCGGAAGUGACUUCCUGGGGACCGAGAGCCCACAGGGGUCUUCCUACUGCUUCUUCUACCCCUGUAUUUCACUCAGCUCUCUAAAUUUGUCUCAGCUCCAGGAAGGCAGGGAUUUCAACCUGGGCAACAAGUCCACAGAACAUGAGAUUUCUGAAGGUGUGUGGGAUACAUCAUGGUUACAUAAAAAUCCUUUCACUAUAGUUCCUACUUCCCUAUCUUCAAAAUGAUUCCCUGAAGACUUCUGCCAUGGCGGUCUAAAGCCUAACCUCUGACCUGUGGAUGGAAAAUUGAACUCCUUGAUGUGAUCUCUGCACAUCAUGCAACCCUAAACCUAAAUAUUCUCUGUGUGGGAGCCCCAUUAUGUUCCUUUUUAGUCUAAUACAUUUUAAGUCUUCUUAAAAAAUUAUAUUUUGUUUUCUUUUAUAUGGUCGAUUUUACCUUGUUUUCUUUGACUAUUACUUGUUGUCUUAUAUGAGAUUCUACUGGUCUCAAGGCUUAAACCUCACAAUCUUCAGGGUCUGAUGGAUUUCUCUCUAUUUUCUAAGUUCCCUGGGAUAUGUUUGAUGAGUUUUUGUGGCAGAGAAGCAGAGAAAGGAGAAAGGUGAUGUCUAUACUACUUCCUUUUUCUCCCCAGCCACAAAUGCCAGAGUCUAUAAAGAGACCCUGAGAAGCAAGCUCUGUGCAGAGUCACUUCUAAGAAAUACCAGGAUAAAAUGUAGGUGAGAGACAUUUGUGUGAAAAAAGGGAUGAGAGAGAGGAGGAAGGAUUGAGAAAAUUUUCAAGGCAGAAAGGGACCUAUAUCUUCUAAUUUGGCAAAAUGGGAGAGGUAGGUAGGAGAUGGGAACGCUCUCUUAUCUAUCUCGCCUUUUGGAUGGAGAUUAAUAACACAGCCCAGGAGAAAGUGAUCCUUAGGAAGCCCAAAUGACUGAAAACAGCCCUGGAGUAUACCAAUUGGACAAGUUGGGGCGAAGGAGACCUAGUUAUUGUAAUACAUAGGUAGAGAUUGUGGUUGUGAGACUGUUGGGUGAUUAACUCAUAGAUGUUCCAAAGUCAUCUGUCAGCUAAAAUAGCUGUCAUUAGGAAUGCUUGAAAGGUUUCAAAGAAUACUUCAGUAGCAAUGAGCAUACCUAGGACCUAGAUCUGGGCUUCUAAAUCUCAUUCUCCACUAAAAGAACCUGGGUCUCCUUGCAAAAGUGGCUGAUUCCAGGUCCAGGGCAUGAAAAGUACAAAGUGAACUUGGAACAUUUCUGUGCCACAAAGCAAGAAAAUGGUCAAAGAAUAAAGGGGACAUGUUGCAAAGGACUCAGGAGCCUGCUUAAAGAGGCUUCCAUUAGCUACAUUUGAGAUAAUCUGAGUAUCAUCAUGACUAUUGAUGAUAAUGGAAUAUAACCCAGAUAACAAAAUAAAAAUCUGUAAGUCCAUACUAAUAUAAGUAAAUAAAUGAGGAAAUAAAUGAUGGAGAAGUGAACUCUCUUCCUUAUAGUAGAAUCCCAAAGAAUAAAGAUAGAGAAAAUGAUGGACUUGGAAAAUCACCAUUUGGCAGUCCCUAUAGUAAUAAUUGUUUCAGGUAAAAAUAAACGGAUUCGAAAAUCAGAGUAUGAUGAAAACCAGGAUACUUACUAUACAUUGUCUCAAAGUAUAUCUCUACAACAUAUUUAUUAAUUUCAAAGAAAAAACUUUCUUUACAUUGGAUAAACCUGAUAGAAAUCACCUCGACAAUAUGAUCAAAGUUCACAUCACCAAUAAUGGGACAUAGACAUCAUGUGCUUCCUGAGAAGGACAUAACAACAUUUCUAUGAUAUUUCUGUCAAAAAUGCAUAAUCUGAAUCUAAUCAUGAAGGGGUAAUCAGACUAACCCAAAUCAAAGGUUUGUCUACACAAUAACUAGUUUGAAUUAUUCAAAUACUGAGAUCAUGAAAUAAAAGAAAGAAUGAACUGUUUCAGAUUAAAGAAGACCAAACAGACAUGACAACCAAAUGUAACUUGUGAUUCUGGAUUUGUCCCUGGACAAUGUAAAGCACAUUAGUGGGGCAACUGGCAAAAUCUGCAUAUGUAAUUUGUCUACAAAUUGUCCACAAAUUGGAUAAUAGUUUUGGUAUUGGUAAUGGUAAUGAUAUUAUAUCAGUGUUAAUUGUCUGAUUUUGGUAAUUGCACUGUGAUUAUUGAAGAGAAUAUCAUGAUUUUUAGAAACUACAACUGCAGUAUGUAAAGCUAAAGAAAUAUUCUGUCUGAAAUUUGCUCUCUGGGACCUAUAUCUUCUAAUUUGGUGAAAUAGGUAGGAGAGGUAUGUAGGAGGAAUUUGUUUUAGGAAACAAAUUGUAUAUCUUUGUAUAUGUGAAUGACAAAGAAAGUGUGAUAAAACGAUAAUACUAGAGGAAUACUUGAGAUGUACAUGGAAAUUCUUUAUAUUAUUAUUACAACU